rnacentral:rRNA from 1 species
CUACGGGUGGCUCCAGUGGGGAAUCUUAGACAAUGGGGGAAACCCUGAUCUAGCCAUGCCGCGUGAGCGAUGAAGGCCUUAGGGUUGUAAAGCUCUUUCAGCUGGGAAGAUAAUGACGGUACCAGCAGAAGAAGCCCCGGCUAACUCCGUGCCAGCAGCCGCGGUAAUACGGAGGGGGCUAGCGUUGUUCGGAAUUACUGGGCGUAAAGCGCACGUAGGCGGACUAUUAAGUCGAGGGUGAAAUCCCGGGGCUCAACCCCGGAACUGCCUUCGAUACUGGUAGUCUUGAGGUCGAGAGAGGUGAGUGGAAUUCCGAGUGUAGAGGUGAAAUUCGUAGAUAUUCGGAGGAACACCAGUGGCGAAGGCGGCUCACUGGCUCGAUACUGACGCUGAGGUGCGAAAGCGUGGGGAGCAAACAGGAUUAGAUACCCUAGUAGUC